rnacentral:rRNA from 1 species
GACGAACGCUGGCGGCGUGCCUAAUACAUGCAAGUCGAGCGAAGCGGCGGAUGGGGGAGUAACGCGUGGGUAACCUGCCCUUAAGUCUGGGAUAGCAUUUGGAAACAGAUGCUAAUACCGGAUACUAAAGGAUGGACCUGCGAUGCAUUAGCUAGUUGGUAAGGUAACGGCUUACCAAGGCGAUGAUGCCUAGCCGGGUUGAGAGAAUGACCGGCCACAUUGGAACUGAGACACGGCCCAAACUCCUACGGGAGGCAGCAGUAGGGAAUCUUCCACAAUGGACGAAAGUCUGAUGCAGCAAUGCCGCGUGAAUGAAGAAGGUUUUCGGAUCGUAAAGCUCUGUUGUUGGUGAAGCGGUAAUCAACCAGAAAGUCACGGCUAACUCCGUGCCAGCAGCCGCGGUAAUUC